rnacentral:rRNA from 1 species
CUACGGGAAACCGGAGCUAAUACCGGAUAAGAUAUCGAACCGCAUGGUUCGAUAGUGAAAGAUGGUUUUGCUAUCACUUAUAGAUGGACCCGCGCCGUAUUAGCUAGUUGGUGAGGUAACGGCUCACCAAGGCAACGAUACGUAGCCGACCUGAGAGGGUGAUCGGCCACACUGGAACUGAGACACGGUCCAGACUCCUACGGGAGGCAGCAGCC